CCAAGGGAGCACUCGUAACCCAACUUCCCCACCGGGUGAGGCUGGGCAUUCAUCUCUGUCUUUCUUUAACACUCUCCCAGGAGGCGAAAUAAAGAACAGGAACAUAUUGCCGAGAAUGUAAGCAGCCUAGAUGCAGGGAGAAAUCAAGUCAGCUUGAGAUCACCUAACCUAGGCCGCCUUUCCAUCCAGCACUCUAACUGCAAAACAAGAGGUGAUGGUGCAUUUGCUGUCUCUGACUCCUCCCCCUGGAAUCAGCUCCCUCAAUACAUCAGACCUCUUGGAAUGUCUUAGAGGGGCUUCAGCCACAUCCCCCUCCUCUCCUUAGAAAACAUCUCUGCCCCAAACCAGGAAAUUAAACGCCAUGCAUCAGAGAAGACGGG